CAGAGGACAGGAUUAAAUAGCAUCUUCCUCAAGGAAGUUUUAACUCAGGCUAUUUUAAAUUGGCCAUCAGCUCCAGCUUUCUGACACAGGUGCUUGCUCAGGUUUUGCUUUGAUAGGAGACCGGGAGAUGGUUAAUGUACAAUUCUGCACCUGUGAAUUUAAAAGCUUUCCAAAAUCUACCACUUUAUAAAAAUCCCCAUAACCUGUAUUAGGCCAGCACUAUUCAGGUGAGAUAAAAUCCUGCAACAUCUAAACUACUUCUAGCACCGGAGACAGUCCACUUAGGCAUUUCUUCAAGUGUCUUUGUGUUGCAGCAAAGUAACUAUAUUUUAGGAAGAAGUUUAAUUUAUCUUCAAGGAACAGAACUCUGCAUAGAAAAUAUUAAAUUUCUUAAUCUCACAUGAUGUUUUUGCAGACUGUGAGAUUAGCAGAAGGGUAGGGGUAAGGUUCUUGUGGGCAGCAAUUUGGAAUAGGUGCUGUUGUCACAAAAAAAUUUCUGAAACACCCGGUGCUUCCAUUGGUCUGAUAGCAAAACAGCAUUUAAUGGGAAAGACACUGAGCAACAAAUCAACAAAGUGAUUUCUACAACCAGAAUUGACGUAAAGUGUACAUCUUGAAAUGAAAAAAAGGGAAAGCAAAGAACAAUAAUCCAAGUUUUCUUUUGCCAUUUCUUUGCUAUAUAACCCUAGUAGAAGCUAAAAAAAAACCAAACCACUAAAUUCACCCAGACUUAGGCACCGCACCUGUUAUAUCCUUAUGCUACAGAAAAUACAAUAGAAAGGAAAGACAAUAAGUCAUUCCUUCUGGUCUUUGAUCAAAACAUGACGCGGGUUUUC